AUUGAACGCUGGCGGCAAGCCUAACACAUGCAAGUCGAGCGGAUGAAGGGAGCUUGCUCCUGGAUUCAGCGGCGGACGGGUGAGUAAUGCCUAGGAAUCUGCCUGGUAGUGGGGGAUAACGUCCGGAAACGGGCGCUAAUACCGCAUACGUCCUGAGGGAGAAAGUGGGGGAUCUUCGGACCUCACGCUAUCAGAUGGGCCUAGGUCGGAUUAGCUAGUUGGUGGGGUAAAGGCCUACCAAGGCGACGAUCCGUAACUGGUCUGAGAGGAUGAUCAGUCACACUGGAACUGAGACACGGUCCAGACUCCUACGGGAGGCAGCAGUGGGGAAUAUUGGACAAUGGGCGAAAGCCUGAUCCAGCCAUGCCGCGUGUGUGAAGAAGGUCUUCGGAUUGUAAAGCACUUUAAGUUGGGAGGAAGGGCAGUAAGUUAAUACCUUGCUGUUUUGACGUUACCAACAGAAUAAGCACCGGCUAACUUCGUG
rnacentral:rRNA from 1 species